GCGAAAAAUGGCGAAUCCUGCCAGAGACGGCUAUCAGGAAUUUGAUAAUGAGCCGGAGGCCCCCGGAGAUACAGAGGUACAGACACCACGAAGAAAUACAGUUUCCGAGGACACAUCGUUAUUUCAAGAUCGUCUUCCGACAGAAAAUUCGUUGACUCCGGAGCAG
rnacentral:sRNA from 1 species